ACGGAAGGCAGCAGUGGGGAAUAUUGCACAAUGGGGGAAACCCUGAUGCAGCAACGCCGCGUGAGUGAAGAAGUAUUUCGGUAUGUAAAGCUCUAUCAGCAGGAAAGAAAAUGACGGUACCUGACUAAGAAGCCCCGGCUAACUACGUGCCAGCAGCCGCGGUAAUACGUAGGGGGCAAGCGUUAUCCGGAUUUACUGGGUGUAAAGGGAGCGUAGACGGCUUUGCAAGUCUGAAGUGAAAGCCCGGGGCUCAACCCCGGAACUGCUUUGGAAACUGUAGAGCUAGAGUGCAGGAGAGGUAAGUGGAAUUCCUAGUGUAGCGGUGAAAUGCGUAGAUAUUAGGAGGAACACCAGUGGCGAAGGCGGCUUACUGGAUUGUAACUGACGUUGAGGCUCGAAGGCGUGGGGAGCAAACAGGAUUAGAUACCCUGGUA
rnacentral:rRNA from 1 species